GAUGAACGCUGGCGGCGUGCCUAAUACAUGCAAGUCGAGCGAACAGACGAGGAGCUUGCUCCUUUGACGUUAGCGGCGGACGGGUGAGUAACACGUGGGUAACCUACCUAUAAGACUGGGAUAACUUCGGGAAACCGGAGCUAAUACCGGAUAAUAUUUCGAACCGCAUGGUUCGAUAGUGAAAGAUGGCUUUGCUAUCACUUAUAGAUGGACCUGCGCCGUAUUAGCUAGUUGGUAAGGUAACGGCUUACCAAGGCAACGAUACGUAGCCGACCUGAGAGGGUGAUCGGCCACACUGGAACUGUGACACGGUCCAGACUCCUACGGGAGGCAGCAGUAGGGAAUCUUCCGCAAUGGGCGAAAGCCUGACGGAGCAACGCCGCGUGAGUGAUGAAGGUCUUCGGAUCGUAAAACUCUGUUAUUAGGGAAGAACAAACGUGUAAGUAACUGUGCACGUCUUGACGGUACCUAAUCAGAAAGCCACGGCUAACUACGUG
rnacentral:rRNA from 1 species